rnacentral:tRNA from 1 species
GCCUUUGUGGCGUAGUGGUCAGCACGCUCGAUGCGUAACUGAUAGGUCCGUGGUUCGAUUCUCGGCGAAGGCG